CCUCCUUAUCUUGAAGUAAAACGUUUUAAUGAAAGCCUCGGCUUUGCGAGUGUUCACACAAAUUACAUGAUAACAAUUAAAGAUAACCCUGAUGGGGCUAUAGCUCAGCUGGGAGAGCGCCUGCCUUGCACGCAGGAGGUCAGCAGUUCGAUCCUGCUUAGCUCCACCAUCAUUUAUCAUAUAAAGAAAGAAACCAAACUUAACGCAUCAAUGAUUGAUGGUUUAAGUUUGGUUUUUUAAACCAAGUUUUUAACCGAGUGCGCGUUAAUGACUACUUCUUUAACAAUCUGGAAAGCUGAUAUAAAUAUCGGUAUUUAUAUAACAAACACGGUGUCGCGCUGUUGUUUGUAAUAUUAUAAAUACCAAGCUGUUAGUACAUUCUCUUAUCGUGAAUGUGUUAAUGGUGGUAAUGCAUCCCCCCAAGGAUGUGUUAUCGAAUUCAUACUGCUCGCAAGAGCAAGAUGUCUUAUCAAGUAACUCAUCCUAUAUCGCAAGAUAUAGUGAGUACGUGAAAAUGUCAGACUUUACAAUUGCCUUGGAUUAGUCUCC
rnacentral:tRNA from 1 species